UACGGAAGGGGGCUAGCGUUGCUCGGAAUGACUGGGCGUAAAGGGCGCGUAGGCGGCUCAUACAGUCAGAUGUGAAAUUCCUGGGCUUAACCUGGGGGCUGCAUUUGAUACGUGUGGGCUUGAGUGGGGAAGAGGGUCGUGGAAUUCCCAGUGUAGAGGUGAAAAUUCGUAGAUAUUGGGAAGAACACCGGUGGCGAAGGCGGCGACCUGGUCCUUGACUGACGCUGAGGCGCGAAAGUGUGGGGAGCAAACAGG
rnacentral:rRNA from 1 species